rnacentral:rRNA from 1 species
CAGCCGCGGUAAUACCAGCGGCCCUAGUGGUGAUCGUUUUUAUUGGGCCUAAAGCGUCCGUAGCCGGUUCGGUAAAUCUCUGGGUAAAUCGUUGGGCUUAACCCAACGAAUUCUGGGGAGACUGCCGAACUUGGGACCGGGAGAGGUCGGAGGUACUCCAGGGGUAGGGGUGAAAUCCUGUAAUCCUUGGGGGACCACCGGUGGCGAAAGCGUCCGACCAGAACGGGUCCGACGGUAAGGGACGAAGCCCUGGGUCGCGAACCGGAUUAGAUACCCGGGUAGUCCAGGGUGUAAACGCUGUGCGCUUGGUGUAGGGGGUCCUACGAGGGCAUCCUGUGCCGGAGAGAAGUUGUUAAGCGCACCGCCUGGGGAGUACGGUCGCAAGACUGAAACUUAAAGGAAUUGGCGGGGGAGCACAGCAACGGGAGGAGCGUGCGGUUUAAUUGGAUUCAACGCCGGAAAACUCACCAGGGGCGACUGCCACAUGAAGAUCAAGCUGAUGACUUUAUCUGAUUGGUAGAGAGGUGGUGCAUGGCCGUCGUCAGUUCGUACCGUAGGGCGUUCUGUUAAGUCAGAUAACGAACGAGACCCUUGCCCUUAAUUGCCAUGUUUCCCUCCGGGGGAACGGUACUUUAAGGGGACCGCUGGUGCAAAAUCAGAGGAAGGGAAGGGCAACGGUAGGUCAGUAUGCCCCGAAUCCCCUGGGCAACACGCGCGCUACAAAGGCCGGGACAAAGGGUUCCGACACCGAGAGGUGAAGGUAAUCCCGCAACCCC